GACGAACGCUGGCGGCGGGCUUAACACAUGCAAGUCGAACGGAAAGGCCCCUUUUGGGGUACUCGAGUGGCGCACGGGGGUGUAACACGUGUGUAACCUGCCCUGGACUUCGGGGUAACUGUAGGAAACUGGGGCUAAUUCCGGCUAGGAAUCCUUGCGGCAUGGUGGGGGUUGGUAAGCUUCGGCGGUUUUGGAUGGACUGGCGGCUGAUCAGCUAGUUGGUGGGGUAGUGGCUUACCAAGGCUUUGACGGGUAGCUGGCCUGAGAGGGUGACCGGCCACACUGGGACCGAGAUGCGGCAGAGGCUCCUACGGGUGGAAGCAGGGGGGAAUCUUGCACAAUGGGCGGAAGCCGGAUGAAGAAAGGCCUCGUGCGGGAUGACGGCCUUAGGGUUGUAAAACGCUUUUAGCAGGAGAGAAGCUUGUGGUGACGGUACCUGCAGAAGAAGCACCGGCUAACUACGUG
rnacentral:rRNA from 1 species